rnacentral:rRNA from 1 species
GGUCAAGUGAAGAAGCGCAUACGGUGGAUGCCUUGGCAGUCAGAGGCGAUGAAAGACGUGGUAGCCUGCGAAAAGCUUCGGGGAGUCGGCAAACAGACUUUGAUCCGGAGAUCUCUGAAUGGGGGAACCCACCUAGGAUAACCUAGGUAUCUUGUACUGAAUCCAUAGGUGCAAGAGGCGAACCAGGGGAACUGAAACAUCUAAGUACCCUGAGGAAAAGAAAUCAACCGAGAUUCCCUUAGUAGUGGCGAGCGAACGGGGAUUAGCCCUUAAGCUUCAUUGAUUUUAGCGGAACGCUCUGGAAAGUGCGGCCAUAGUGGGUGAUAGCCCCGUACGCGAAAGGAUCUUUGAAGUGAAAUCGAGUAGGACGGAGCACGAGAAACUUUGUCUGAACAUGGGGGGACCAUCCUCCAAGGCUAAAUACUACUGACUGACCGAUAGUGAACCAGUACCGUGAGGGAAAGGCGAAAAGAACCCCGGAGAGGGGAGUGAAAUAGAACCUGAAACCGUAUGCGUACAAGCAGUGGGAGCCUACUUGUUAGGUGACUGCGUACCUUUUGUAUAAUGGGUCAGCGACUUAUAUUCAGUGGCAAGCUUAACCGUAUAGGGUAGGCGUAGCGAAAGCGAGUCUUAAUAGGGCGUUUAGUCGCUGGGUAUAGACCCGAAACCGGGCGAUCUAUCCAUGAGCAGGUUGAAGGUUAGGUAACACUGACUGGAGGACCGAACCCACUCCCGUUGAAAAGGUAGGGGAUGACUUGUGGAUCGGAGUGAAAGGCUAAUCAAGCUCGGAGAUAGCUGGUUCUCCUCGAAAGCUAUUUAGGUAGCGCCUCAUGUAUCACUCUGGGGGGUAGAGCACUGUUUCGGCUAGGGGUCAUCCCGACUUACCAAACCGAUGCAAACUCCGAAUACCCAGAAGUGCCGAGCAUGGGAGACACACGGCGGGUGCUAACGUCCGUCGUGAAAAGGGAAACAACCCAGACCGCCAGCUAAGGUCCCAAAGUUGUGGUUAAGUGGUAAACGAUGUGGGAAGGCUUAGACAGCUAGGAGGUUGGCUUAGAAGCAGCCACCCUUUAAAGAAAGCGUAAUAGCUCACUAGUCGAGUCGGCCUGCGCGGAAGAUGUAACGGGGCUCAAACCACACACCGAAGCUGCGGGUGUCACGUAAGUGACGCGGUAGAGGAGCGUUCUGUAAGCCUGUGAAGGUGAGUUGAGAAGCUUGCUGGAGGUAUCAGAAGUGCGAAUGCUGACAUGAGUAACGACAAUGGGUGUGAAAAACACCCACGCCGAAAGACCAAGGGUUCCUGCGCAACGUUAAUCGACGCAGGGUUAGUCGGUUCCUAAGGCGAGGCUGAAAAGCGUAGUCGAUGGGAAACAGGUUAAUAUUCCUGUACUUCUGGUUACUGCGAUGGAGGGACGGAGAAGGCUAGGCCAGCUUGGCGUUGGUUGUCCAAGUUUAAGGUGGUAGGCUGAAAUCUUAGGUAAAUCCGGGGUUUCAAGGCCGAGAGCUGAUGACGAGUCGUCUUUUAGAUGACGAAGUGGUUGAUGCCAUGCUUCCAAGAAAAGCUUCUAAGCUUCAGGUAACCAGGAACCGUACCCCAAACCGACACAGGUGGUCGGGUAGAGAAUACCAAGGCGCUUGAGAGAACUCGGGUGAAGGAACUAGGCAAAAUGGCACCGUAACUUCGGGAGAAGGUGCGCCGGCUAGGGUGAAGGAUUUACUCCGUAAGCUCUGGCUGGUCGAAGAUACCAGGCCGCUGCGACUGUUUAUUAAAAACACAGCACUCUGCAAACACGAAAGUGGACGUAUAGGGUGUGACGCCUGCCCGGUGCCGGAAGGUUAAUUGAUGGGGUUAGCGCAAGCGAAGCUCUUGAUCGAAGCCCCGGUAAACGGCGGCCGUAACUAUAACGGUCCUAAGGUAGCGAAAUUCCUUGUCGGGUAAGUUCCGACCUGCACGAAUGGCGUAACGAUGGCGGCGCUGUCUCCACCCGAGACUCAGUGAAAUUGAAAUCGCUGUGAAGAUGCAGUGUAUCCGCGGCUAGACGGAAAGACCCCGUGAACCUUUACUGUAGCUUUGCACUGGACUUUGAGCCUGCUUGUGUAGGAUAGGUGGGAGGCUUUGAAGCGUGGACGCCAGUUCGCGUGGAGCCAUCCUUGAAAUACCACCCUGGCAUGCUUGAGGUUCUAACUCUGGUCCGUAAUCCGGAUCGAGGACAGUGUAUGGUGGGCAGUUUGACUGGGGCGGUCUCCUCCUAAAGAGUAACGGAGGAGUACGAAGGUGCGCUCAGACCGGUCGGAAAUCGGUCGCAGAGUAUAAAGGCAAAAGCGCGCUUGACUGCGAGACAGACACGUCGAGCAGGUACGAAAGUAGGUCUUAGUGAUCCGGUGGUUCUGUAUGGAAGGGCCAUCGCUCAACGGAUAAAAGGUACUCCGGGGAUAACAGGCUGAUACCGCCCAAGAGUUCAUAUCGACGGCGGUGUUUGGCACCUCGAUGUCGGCUCAUCACAUCCUGGGGCUGAAGCCGGUCCCAAGGGUAUGGCUGUUCGCCAUUUAAAGUGGUACGCGAGCUGGGUUUAGAACGUCGUGAGACAGUUCGGUCCCUAUCUGCCGUGGACGUUUGAGAUUUGAGAGGGGCUGCUCCUAGUACGAGAGGACCGGAGUGGACGAACCUCUGGUGUUCCGGUUGUCACGCCAGUGGCAUUGCCGGGUAGCUAUGUUCGGAAAAGAUAACCGCUGAAAGCAUCUAAGCGGGAAACUUGCCUCAAGAUGAGAUCUCACUGGGAACUUGAUUCCCCUGAAGGGCCGUCGAAGACUACGACGUUGAUAGGCUGGGUGUGUAAGCGUUGUGAGGCGUUGAGCUAACCAGUACUAAUUGCCCGUGAGGCUUGACCAU